rnacentral:rRNA from 1 species
UAGGGAAUUUUCGUCAAUGGGGGGAACCCUGAACGAGCAAUGCCGCGUGAGCGAAGAAGGUCUUCGGAUCGUAAAGCUCUGUUGUAAGAGAAAAACGAGUGCCAUAGGGAAUGAUGGCGCAGUGAUGGUAUCUUACCAGAAAGCCACGGCUAACUACGUGCCAGCAGCCGCGGUAAUACGUAGGUGGCGAGCGUUAUCCGGAAUCAUUGGGCGUAAAGGGUGCGUAGGUGGCACGAUAAGUCUGUAGUAAAAGGCAGCGGCUCAACCGCUGUUGGCUAUGGAAACUGUCGAGCUGGAGUGCAGAAGAGGGCGAUGGAAUUCCAUGUGUAGCGGUAAAAUGCGUAGAUAUAUGGAGGAACACCAGUGGCGAAGGCGGCCGCCUGGUCUGCAACUGACACUGAAGCACGAAAGCGUGGGGAGCAAAUA